CCUACGGGAGGCUGCAGUGAGGAAUAUUGGUCAAUGGGCGAGAGCCUGAACCAGCCAAGUCGCGUGAGGGAGUACUGCCCUAUGGGUUGUAAACCUCUUUUGUCGGGGAGCAAAAGCCGGACGUGUCCGGCUGUGAGAGUACCCGAAGAAAAAGCAUCGGCUAACUCCGUGCCAGCAGCCGCGGUAAUACGGAGGAUGCGAGCGUUAUCCGGAUUUAUUGGGUUUAAAGGGUGCGCAGGCGGAUUUUUAAGUAAGCGGUAAAAUCGUGGGGCUCAACCCCAUCCAGCCGUUGAAACUGGGGAUCUAGAGUGUGCGAGAGGUAUGCGGAAUGCGUGGUGUAGCGGUGAAAUGCAUAGAUAUCACGCAGAACCCCGAUUGCGAAGGCAGCAUACCGGUGCACAACUGACGCUCAGGCACGAAAGCGUGGGUAUCGAACAGGAUUAGAUACCCCAGUAGUC
rnacentral:rRNA from 1 species